rnacentral:lncRNA from 1 species
GUUGGAAUUGUAAACUUUAGUCAGCCCCCACACGCUGCUGGGGAAUGUGGAAUGUUCUAGCUCUGAGAUGUUAACUGAGAAAAGAGAAGUCAAACAAAGCCGAUACGUGCAGCCCUGUCUACAGAAUCCUUCAUUAUCCAGUUUAAUCAGGAGUUUCUUGGUCUUUUAUUAACUUGGUCCCAAAGAAGGAAUUCAAGUCCUAGAUAAGUAAAUCCUCAAUUUGCUGUUCCCUGAAGUAUGGAAAUGAAGUUGGGCCAGUUUUUAAUCUCUGCUGCCAGAGAGGCCCUUUCUGCUAAUAGAUAAAAACUCUUUUGCUCAACUUAGUAAUGACUUGUGGUCUUUUGGAUAUGGCUGACCUGAAUUGGACUGAACUCCACCAUAUUCCUGCUGAGUGGGUCAUUACUGGAAUGAGACAUUUGCUCUUCAGAGAACAACUUUAUUUUUAUUUUUUCUUGAGAUGGAGUCUCACUCUGUCGACCAGGCUGGAGCGCUGUGGUGCGAUAUCGGCUCACUGCAGUCUCCACUUCCUGGGUUCAAGCGAUCCUCCUGCCUCAGCCUCCCGAGUAGCUGGGACUACAGGCAGGCGUCACCAUAAUUUUUGUAUUUUUAGUAGAGACAUGGUUUCGCCAUGUUGGCUGGGCUGGUCUCGAACUCCUGACCUCAAGUGAUCUGUCCUGGCCUCCCAAAGUGUUGGGAUUACAGGCGAAAGCCAACGCUCCCGGCCAGGGAACAACUUUAGAAUGAAGGAAAUAUGCAAAAGAACAUCACAUCAAGGAUCAAUUAAUUACCAUCUAUUAAUUACUAUAUGUGGGUAAUUAUGACUAUUUCCCAAGCAUUCUACGUUGACUGCUUGAGAAGAUGUUUGUCCUGCAUGGUGGAGAGUGGAGAAGGGCCAGGAUUCUUAGGUUGAUCUAUCUGUGGGUUAUGACUUCCCACAAUAGCCACCCCCGGCCCCCACCAGUCCUUUUAUUGGCUCUGGAUGGAAAAUCCCUACCCAUGUGAUGGUCCCUGGUCUCUCCUAUAGUUUGACCAACAGUUGACCCAAAAGGUUAUGGUCUUCAGCGUUUUAAUUAUAUCCACGACUAGAUACUGGGGUCUGUAUUCUUCAAAGUGUGGGGCUGCCUAUUCUCCCAGGAACCAAAUGGCCUCCGUCUUAAGAAAGUAUGCUUACUAGGAAAUACCCUGCCUACCUUAGGAAUAAAUGCUACUUAAGGAAAAAAUAAGAGAGCUGAAAAAGCUGGUGCCAUUUGAAAAAAAAAGGGAAGGAAUGAGAUUUAACUGGUGCUCAAAGCUUCUCCGAUACAAAAUAUUUGGUCAUGUAUUCAUAAUUUGCUUGACAUUUCCAGCAAAGCGAAGAUGGCAAUAACAAAAGGAACUUCUUACAAGAGAAGAGAAAGACCCACGGAGCUCCAGAGUUUCUGUUGGAACAAGACUCUUCUGUUUUGCUUAUAUACAGUUAAGUUCGUUUAGUGUCUGAUCCAGUGUCUGAUGUAAGCCCACGUUCUCUUCUUUGGCCUGGGCAAGUUUCUCUGGUGAGGAUUAAGAGUAUGGGGAAAGAUAAAUUAAUAAGCGUCUUUGUUAAAUGAAAGAAAAAAAAAGAUUUGUUUUUUUUUCUUCUUCUUGAGACAGGGUCUCAUUCUGUCACCCAGGCUGGAGUGCAGUGGCGCGAUCUUGGCUCACUGCAACCUUCACCUGCCAGGCUCAAGCAAUUCUCCUGCCUCAGCCUCCCGAGUAGCUGGGAUUACAGACGCGUGCCACCACCACCCGGCUAAUUUUUGUAUUUUUAGUAGAGAUGGGGUUUCACCAUGUUAGCCAGGCUGGUCUCGAGCUCUUGACCUCAAGUGAUCCACCCACCUUGGCCUCCUAAAGUGCUGGGAUUACAGGUGUGAGCCACCAUGCCCAGCACCCCCCCAAAGAUUUCUAAACCUGAAACUGCCAGGGUGAAAGUCACAAGAGAGAAAGUACUUUUUUUUUGAGACAGGGUCUCACUCUGUUGUCCAGGCUGAAGUGCAGUGGCGUAAUCACGAAUCACCGUAGCCUUGACCUCCCUGGGCUCAGGUGAUCCUCCCACCUCAGCCUCCCGCAUAGCUGGGACUGCAGGUGCAUGCCACCACCUGGCCAAUUUUUGCAUUUUUUCUAGAGACAGGGUCUCACCAUGUUACCCAGGCUGGUCUUGAGCUCCUGGGCUCAAGGAACCCAUCUGCUCAGCCUCCCAAAGUGCUGGGAAUACAGGUGGGUUAUAGCCACCAUGCCUGUCCAGUACUUUGUAUUUUUAAUUACAGCAGAACAUCACAGAAUACUAAGGAACAAGCACCAAAUUUGGGAGUCACAGUUGUAAGAUAAAAUGCAGGGCGCCCAGUUAAAUUGAAUUUCAGAUAAACCACAAAUAAUAUUUUAGUGUAAGUAUAUCCCAAAUGUUGCAUGAGAUGUACUUAUGCAAGAGAUAUACUUAUGAUUAAAAAAUUAUUCAUUGCUUAUCUGAAACUCAGAUUUAAGUUGGUGUCCUGUAUUUUUCCUUGUGAACUCUGGUAACCCUUGAGUCAGAAUACCUGAACUUAAGCUCCAGUUGUAUCACUUAAGUAAGCAUCUAACCUUCCUAGGUCUGUUUUCCCCGUCUGUCAAAUGGGGGUAACGAUAUCAAUGCGUGGUGUGGGGGUUAUGAUGAGGAAUAAAGGAGAAAUACUUCAGAACCUAUGACGUGCUGCUACAUGAAGAUUUCAGUCCUAGAUAUGUGUGACUUAAUAUAAAUUUCCACCCAAGUGCUAGUUAAUUAGCCCCUGAGCCUUUGAUAGUUAAAUCUAAAAUCCUGUAACCCAUCUUUCCUUCGGAGCUUCUGGGAAUGGCUGUUUAAAUUAUACACAUAAUUGUGUAACUGUCUAUGAAUCCAGGAGAACGGAGACAAACCCCAGGUAAAUGCGAAAUUUAAGCCAUUCUACAGGCAUGUUAUUAAGUAACUGAGCUGAUGAAACAAUUUAAAUUAAAAAAGAAAGAGAGAGAGAAAAAAGACGCCAUUUAGAGCUAUGCGUGACAGAGCACGAGAGAGAACUUAGUUUGCAGUAAGUGAUGGCUGAUAAGGGACAAGGCCAAGACUCAUUAAAAUGCUGGGGGAAAGCAAAAUGCCUCAUAAAAUGUGAUAUCAUCAGCCUGGAAAUUUACAGAAAGAAAAAAAUGACUGCAGAAGAUGGCAGCCUUUCUUAUUUAUUUAUUUUUAAACAGGGUCUUGCUCUGUUGCCCAGGCUGGAGUGCAGUGGCAUGAUCAUAGCUCACUGCAGCCUUGACCUCCUGGGCUCAAGUGAUCCUUCUACCUCAGCCUCCCAAGUAGCUGGGACUACAAGUGCGUGCCACUACACCCAGCCAAUUCUUGUAUUUUUAGUAGAGAUGGGGUUUCGCCAUGUUGCCCAAGCUGGUCUCAUGCAAUCCACCCACCUCGGCCUCCCAAAGUGCUGGGAUUACUGGCAUGAGACACCAUGGAUCCUUGAUGUAAGGAGUUCGAGACCAGCCUGGCCAACAUGGCGAAACCCCAUCUCUACUUAAAAAUACAAAAAAUUAGCCGGGUGUGGUGGCGCACACCUGUAAUCCCAGCUACACAGGAGGCUGAGGCAGGAGAAUCACUUGAACCCGGGAGGCGGACACUGCAGUGAGCCGAGAUUGCGUCACUGCCCUCCAGCCUGGGUGACAGAGUGGGACUCCAUCACACACACACACACACACACACACACACAGAGUCAAGUGACUAUGACCUGGGAGGAUUCUAUCAGACAGAUCAGUGACCUGGGCCUAUCCAGUCUGGGUGAAUAGAUGUUAACUGAAUGCUGACUAUGUUGGACGAGCCAGUUUCUCCAUUAUCUCAUUUAAUCCUCAUAACAGAGAUAUCACCUUUAUUUUGCAGAAAACCUAAGCAGCUUGUUCACGUUGGCAUGGUUAAAGUAGUAGAGCUAGGAUUUUAAAUCCUGGUCUCUUUAUUUAUUAUUUUAUUAAAAAAUUUUUUAAAAAUAAAAUAUUAUUAUGAAUAAUUUUAGAGAUGGGGUCUUGCCAUAUUGCCCAGAUUGGUCUCAAACUCCUGAGCUCAAGUGAUCCGCCUGCCUUGGCCUCCCAAAGUGCUGGGAUUACAAGUGUGAGCCACUGCGCCAGGCCUUAAACCCUGGUCUCUUGACUACAAAUCCUGACUUCGCUUCAUCUUGUCACUCAGAUGCUUUAGCAUCUAUUUUGUUAUUAGGUCUGAGAUAAAAUGACUUUCCCUGAAAGUGUUAACUGCCCUUGAGAAUCACGACAAGGCUCACAGACUAUCAACAGAUAGUGUAGACCUCCAUAGUGCUAAUCUCUUUUCUUUUCUUUUCUUUUUUUUUGAGGCGGAGUCUCACUCUGUCGCCCAGGCUGGAGUACAAAGGUUCGACCUUGGCUCACAGCAAGCUCCGCCUCCCAGGUUCAAGUGAUUGAUUUUCCCACCUCAGCCUCCCCAGUAGCUGGGAUUACAGGCCCCCAUGACCAUGCCCGGCUAAUUUUUGCAUUUUUAGUAGAGACAGAGUUUCACCAUGUUGACCAGGUUGGUCCUGAACUUCUGACCUCAAGUGACCUGCCUGCCUUGGCCUCCCAAAGUGUUGGGAUUACAGGCGUGAGCCACCGUGCCCGGCCAUAGCACUAAUCUCUGAAAUUCCACUUAUGUGCUUAGUUAGGUAGAAUAACUGGAUAGACAGGCUGCAUAGUUACUUCAAAGGGUGGAGUCCAGAAAUGCCUGGAGAAAUUCCAGGGACAAACACACAGACUCCAAACAAAAACCAGCCCCCUACACAGUCUGUAAUCUUUCCAAGGGCAUAUAUAUGGCAAUGUGUGAGGGGAAUGGUUUUUGCAGAAGUUCAGGAUGGACGGCAGUUAGGAGCAGGGAGAGGCUGAGGGUGGAAAGGUGGAGGUGGUUUAGGGGAGGUGCAUUUUGGAGGAAUGGAUGAAUAGAGAGAGUAAUGGGGACAGAGCUUCCCACCUGGACAAAAAAAUAGGAUGAGGAAUAACAAUGGAUACCGAAAAUUCAGGAUCUAGUUGGAGAUUUUCAUGCCAUUUCCAGGUUCAAGGGGUAGUCUGGAAGAUGUGGCUUGAACAUCUAAAUGUCAAUUAUCUGUGAUAAUUUGAGGUGGUAGUGGUGGUAGGAUGCAGGGGAGAACCAGAUGCACUAUUUGAAAUUUUGGGACAAAUUGGUAUGUUUUUGAUCAUUAGAAAAGCAUAGCUUGGGCCAGGUGCAGUGGCUCACACCUGUAAUCCCAGCACUUUGGGAGGCCGAGGCGGGUGGAUCACCUGAGGUCAGGGGUUCAAAACCAGCCUGGCCAACAUGGUGAAACCCUGUCUCUACUAAAAAUACAAAAUUAGCCAGGCAUGGUGGCGCAUGCCUGUAGUCCCAGCUACUUGGGAGGCUGAGGCAGGAGAAUUGCUUGAACCCGUGAGGCAGAGGUUGCAGUGAGCAGAGAUGGCGCCACUGCACUCCAGCGUGGGCAACAAGAGCGAAACUCCGUCUCAAAAAGAAAGAAGAAAAAAAAAAGCAAAGCAUAGCCUGGGCCGGGCAAAGUGGCUCACGCCUGUAAUCCCAGCAUUUUUGGAAGCUGAGGUGGGCGGAUCAGUUGAGGCCAGGAGUUUCAGACCAGCCUAGCUAACAUGGUGAAACCCCAUCUCUACUGAAAGUACAAAAAUUAGCUGAGUGUGGUGGUCCGCGACUGUAAUCCCAGCUACUCGGGAGGCUGAGGCAUGAGAAUCACUUGAACCCAGGAGGCGGAGGUUGCAGUGAGCCAAGAUGGCGCCACUGCACUCCAGCCCGGGCAACAGAGUGAGACCCUGUCUUGAAAAAAAAAAAAAAAAAAAAAAAAAAAAAAAAAAGAGUGACCUUGUUUUCUCCAUAUUCCUCAUGUAGGAAAAAGCAUGACCUUUUAUUACCCACAGGUCAACCUUAAGAGCUAUUCUAAACUAAAGCAAGGUUCCUGUUAUAACUAACUGAAAUAUGAAUGGAGAUUGAUGUUAGCAGUCUCAGGCAAUUCUGGAAUUCGGGAAAAGAAUUCUAAAUUCACGUCUUCUGACGUCACAGCACUUUCCCUGUUCAUGGAGGCCCGUUCACUCCUUGUACAGUCAGUUUUCUAAGGGCAGGGCGUGGAGGUGAACUUCCUCCCAGGACUGGGAGCUGGAUGAACAGUGAAGAGUAAAGCCACGGGAAGCCCCAGUCACCACACUCACAGUGUAACACAGAGAAAAGACACAAGAAAAGGAGGAAAUGGAGAUCAAAAUGUCACUGCCGCUGUUUGAAUCUGUAGCUCAAGCCCCAUUCAAGGGGAGCCUCAUUUUUGACACAGGCUUGCUGGUUUUUCCAAAUCCCUGUUGACUCUUAAGCUGCCUAAGCGGUUUACAAGGAUGAGCCUCCAUUCACAACAAUUUCUAUUUAAGGAAAAACCAUUGGGGAUGGGCGCGGUGGCUCAUGCCUGUAAUUGCAGCACCCUGGGAGGGUGAGGUGGGCAGACUGCCUGAGCCCAGCAGUUCAAGACCAGCCUGGGCAACAUAGUGAAACCCUCCCGCUUCUACAAAAAGUACAAAAAUGGCCAGGCGUGAUGGCUCAAGCCUGUAAUCCCUGCACUUUGGGAGGCCAAGGCAGGCGGAUCACAAGGUCAGGAGUUUGAGACCAGCCUGACCAACAUGGUGAAACCCUGUCUCUACUAAAAAUCCAAAAGAAAAAUUAGCCAGGUGUGGUGGUGUAUGCCUGUAAUCUCAGCUACUUGGGAGGCUGAGGCAGGAGAAUUGCUUGAACCCGGGAGGCGGAGGUUGCAGUGAGCCGAGAUUGCACCACUGCACUCCAGCCUGGGCGACAUAGUGAGACUCCGCCUCAAAAAAAAAAAAAAAAAGUACAAAAAUUAGCCUUGUGUGGUGGUGCACACCUGUAGUUCCAGCUACUUGGGAGGUCGAGGUGGGAGGAUAGCUUGAGCCUUGUAGGUGGAGGUUGCAGUGAACUAUGAUGGUGUCACUGCACUCCAGCCUGGGUGACAAAGCAAGACCCUGUCUCAAAACAAAAAAACAAAAAAAAAUUAUUGGCAUGCAGAUGCCGUUAGCUAACAGCGGUAUCUGAGAGCACAUGCCCAGUUUGCUUUUGUUUUCACGUCUUCAGAAAAGCAUCCUGUAGGCAUAAUUUUCUUUUUGUAAUAAGCUUUUCAUUUGUGAGUGAGAGAGGCUAACCACCCACUUUGUGUUUCAGGCUAUGGUUAAGGGCACACAGCUACAGCUCAAAGGCAGCAAGUGGAGAAAAUGAGAAUGAGGGGGCAUGAAGAGGAGGACUGCCCGUCUUUAUUUCGGUUGUAGAGUCACAGACACAUCAGAAGAAGGCUCUGACGUUCAAACCAGAAGGCAGGCCACCGGAGCUCCUAGAAGCCCACAGGGGCGUAGGAGGCACCAUGUGAGAAGGACAGAGGGCAGCGACCUGGCUGCCUCUCAGAGAGAGGUCAUGUCGUUGAGAGCGUGGUCCAGUUCCUCGCUGAUAGCUUUGUACUUGAGCUUCUGAGCGUAUAACUCAUCUAGAGGGCGGAGGUCCCCAGGGAGACAGUUCAGAAGUACAGGGGACAGAAGGCAAGGGUCGGAAUGGAGUGCCACAGAUGAACCACAAGAGGAAGAAAAAAACACGUGAGCAAACAAAGCACAGACUAGGAGAAAGCUGUGUUCCAUGUGAAACAGAUGAAGAAAACCAAAGAUCUAUGGAGUUGAUCUCUAAGUGGUUUGAGGUUCUGCAGGGGGAUUAGCCACAAUGAAGCUUCAAAACAGUGGUAACCAGAAGUGACAGAGCUUCCCCCCACUGGUCCCCACCCCUCAGUUUAUUUCGGAUUUCCAAUGACGUCACCCUGUCCAAAGGUCGUAUUUUGGAAUGGGGCAUUUUCCCUUAUAUGGGAACCUCACUUCCCCAAAAAAACAUUGGAAGAUAUGGUCUGAAGAAUGUGUCCUUUCUGGGUGGGAUGGGCAGUUUGGAAGAUUCCAUUUGAACCCCAAGAUUCUGGAAUUUCUGAGGCCGAAUGUUAAACACUGGAACUCUUGAAAAAAUUCUGGGAGAAGUGGGCCCCAGACUUGCAGACUAGUCUUUAUUGCAGUCCCUACACUUUCUGUAUUUCUGUUUUUUUUUUUAAAUACUAUGAUAAGCUUUGAGCUCCCUGGGACAGAGCUUCUGCAAAAAUGCAAGGCAUGUAAAAAAAAAAUGCAAGGCAUCUAUCAGAAAUGAGCAAACAGAAGGAAAUUGUGAAGUUUUUUUUUUUUUGAGACGGAGUCUGGCUCUGUCACCCAGGCUGGAGAGCUGUGGCGUGAUCUUGGCUUACUGCAACCUCCGCCUCCCAGGUUCAAGGGAUUCUCCCUGCCUCAGCCUCCCCAGUAGCUAGGAUUACAGGCGUGCACCACCACGCCUGGCUAAUUUUUUCUAUUUUUGGUAGAGACGGGGUUUCACCAUGUUGGCCAGGUUAGUCUCAAACUCCUGAUUUCAAGUGAUCCGCCCGCCUCGGCCUCCCAAAGUGCUAGGAUUACAGGCUUGAGCCACUGCGCCUGGCCUGAGAUUUUUAAUUUAUUAUUAAUAUUUUUUUAAUCAGAGAGAGCCAUACUCUUUUCUCUAUACUUGCUCAUGGGACUAACUAAGCAGAGAUAUUUUACCUCCUGAAAGUGGCAAUUCAAUUAGCCAGGUGUGGCGGCACACGCCUGUAGUCCCAGCUACCUGGGAGGCUGAGGCAGGAGAAUCACUUGAACCCGGGAGGCGCAGGUUGCAGUGAGCCGAGAUGGCGCCACUGCACUCCAUCCAGCCUGGGAGACAGAGCCAGACUCCGUCUCAUAGAAAAAAAAAAAAAAAAAAAAAAGGGCCAUUCAAGCCUGAAUGCUUUGCAUUAUCCUAUUCCAGUGUUCCAGGACAUCCAGAUAUGACAUCACUAUGCGCUUUACUUUCCUAAGGCAAACAAAGCCCAACCCAGCCCCUCCACAAACAUUCCCCAACUGUCCGUGGAUGUGUCCCAGAGGGGAAGGCAGGGCAAGGCAAACAUUUAGAUGGUAACCUCAUACCUUCCAGGUCAUCAAUUGUCUUUUCCAGUUUUGCAACCGUUCUCUCUGCAAAUUCAGCACGGGUCUCAGCCUAGAUAAGAAGAAAGGAGUUACUAUCAUGGCUUCAAGACCAGCCCCAGGAGAAACCAGAGCUCGCUGGGUGCCACCACACUCACCUCUUUCAGUUUGUCAGACAGAAGUUUAAUUUCUUCUUCAUAUUUGUCCUCCUUUUCAGAAUACUGUGGGAGAAACCAAAACACUGCUUUAAGAAAAGGAGGCCCAGCCAGGCAUGGUGGCUCAUGCCUGGAAUCCUGGCACUUUGGGAGCCUGAGGCUGGUGGAUCACAAGGUCAGGAGUUCGAGACCAGCCUGGCCAACAUGGUGAAACCCCGUCUCUACUAAAAAUACAAAAAUUAGCCAGGCUUGGUGGCAUGCAGCUGUAGUCCCAGCUACUGGGGAGGAUGAGGCAGAAGACUCACUCGAACCUGGGAGGUGGAGGUUGCAGUGAGCCGAGAUCACGCCACUGCACUCCAGCCUGGGUGACAGAGUAAGACUCCAUCUCAAAAAAACAAACAACAACAACAACAAAAACAAAAAAAAAACAGAAAGAAAGAAAAGGAGGGCUGGGUGUGGUGGCUCUCACCUGUGAUUCCAGUGUUUUGGGGGACCAUGGUGGGAGAAUUACUUGAGCCCAGGAAUUUGAGACCAACCUGGGUCACAUAGUGAGACCCCGUCUCUACAAAGAAUUUAAAAAUUAGCCAGUCAUGGUGGUGAGCACCUGUAGUCCCAGCUAAUGGGGACGCUGAGGAGGGAAGAUGGCUUGAACCCUGGAAUUCAAGGCUGCAGAGAGCUCUGAUUGGACCACUACACUCUAGCCUGGGCAACAGGGCAGGACCCCAUCUCAAAAAAAAGGAGGAAGAAGCAUAAAAAGAAGUAAGCAGGCCAGGCACGGUGGCUCACGCCUGUAAUCCCAGUACUCUGGGAGGCCAAGGCGGGUGGAUCGCUUGAGGUCAGGAGUUCGAGACCAGCCUGGCCAACAUGGCGAAACGCUGUCUUUACUAAAAAUACAAAAAUUAGCCAGGUGUGGUGGUGGGUGCCUGUAAUCUCAGCUACUCAGGAGGCUAAGGCAUGAGAAUUGCUUAAACCCAGGAGGUGGAGGCUGUAGUGAGGCCAGAUGGCGCCACCGCACUCCAGCCUGGGGCGAUGGAGUGAGACUCCAUCUCAAAAAGAAAAAAAAAAAAAAGUAGGCAGAGUAGAGGCAGGCACCUUUCCCCAGCAGAAGAAAUAUGUGUGAAAUGUGGAGGAUGUUGGGGAGAGUCCUGUAGGAUGGUAUUGAUCAGAAGGCCUAAACUGAGAACUUGAGAUAAAAAGUAUGGCGAAGAAAGGGAGAUAACUGGGAAUCUGUUACUCAAGGCCCCCUCUGUAUUUCCAACCCCAUUCUCCACCACCUUCCCCAGGGUGACAGGCACUCCCUGAUCAUAAUCUGUGGACUCCUGAGUCCCAGUCCCUGUCCAUGAAUGCACCCCUUAGCAUGGAAUGUUCCCCUCCCCAUGAUGACCCAUCAGAAAUUAUACUUUUCUUUUCUUUUUUUUUUUUUUCAGACAGAAUCUUGCUCUGUCACCCAGGCUGGAGUGCAGUGGUACGAUCUCGGCUCACUGUGACUUGCAACUUCUGCCUCCCAGGCUGAAGCAAUUCCCCUGACUCAGCCUCCCAAGUAGCUGGGCCUACAGGCGCCCACCACCAUGCCCAGCUAAUUUUUGUUAUUUUUAGCAGAGAUGGGGUUUCGCUACGAUGGCCAGCCAGGCUGCUCUCGAACUCCUGACCUCAGGUGAUCCGCCUGCCUCGGCCUCCCAAUAAUAACUAACACUUAUUAGCUGCUUACCAUGGGCCAGACAUAGUUAAUGGCAUCACAGCCUGGUAUCUGUAAUCCCAUUUUAUAGGGGAGGAAAGGGUCACAGAAAGGUGAAGUUAUUAUUUUGCCUAGGGUCACAUGGCUAUUAAGUGAUCAAGUCAUGACUGAAGCCUGACUCUGGAGUGCAGUGGGGCAAUCUUGGCUCAAUGCAACCUCCGCCCUCCAGGCUCAAGUGAUCCUCUCACCUCAGCCUCCCAAGUAGCUAGGAUCACAAGCAUGCACCACCAUGCCCAGCUAGUUUUUGUAUUUUUGGUAGAGACGGGAUCUCUCCAUGUUGCCCAGGCUGGUCUCGAACUUCUGAGCUCAAGCGAUCCUCCCGCCUCGGCUUCCUAAAGUGCUGGAAUUACAGGCAUGAGCCACCGUGCUGGACCUACAGCUGUUUUAAAUGUCGCCUCCUUGGUGACACCGUUCACAACCUACCAAGGUCCCUCUAUUGUAUUCCCAAAGCACUCUGUGACUUUGUCAAUCCCUUCCACUAGACUCGACUCUGAGCUCUUCAAGAGCAGAUGCCAGGCUGGGCACAGUGGCUCACACCUGUAAUCCCAGCCCUUUGGGAGGCCGAGGUGGGUGGAUCACUUGAGGUCAGGAGUUUGAGACGAGCCUGGCCAACAUGGUGAAACUCCGUCUCUACUAAAAAUACAAAAAUUAGCUGGGCGUGGUGUGUGCGCCUGUAUUCCCAGUUACUCAGGAGGCUGAGGCAGGAGAAUUGCUUGAGCCUAGGAGGUGGAGGUUGCAGUGAGCUGAGAUCGUGCCUCUGCACUCCAGCCUGGGCGACAGAGCAAGGCUCCAUCUCAAAACAAAACAAAACAAAGCAGCUGAGGUAUUAGUGGUGUUACAUCUAUCCCCCUGGCCCGGGGCAGUGUCUGGCAUACACACACCAACUGGAUUCAUUCCUUACACAUCCUAGUAUCAGAUAUAUGCCAGGGCUGGCACAUAUGGGAGACAGAGGCAGGUGGAUCACUCGAGGCCAGGAGUUUGAGAUCAGCCUGGGCAACAUGGUGAAACACCAUCUCUACUAAAAAAAAAAAAAAAAAAAAAAUUACACACACACACUACAGAUAUAUGCCAGGCACAAUGCUAGUACUAGGGACACAACUCUGAACAAGAUGACAUGGUUCCUGUCCUUACAACUUACAAUCUAGCAAGGAAGGCAUGCAAUUAAUGGAGUAACUAUAAUAAAUGUAAGAAAUCAUAAUGCCAGCAAAAGUAUAGACAGGGCUACACAGCAGAGAAAUACCUAACCUAGAUGAGAAAUCAGAGAAGGACUCUCAGAAGUGAUGUUUAAGCAGAAGCUCAAAGGAUGAACAGGAGGCCAGGCUCGGCGGCCUCCCAAAGUAAUCCCAGCACUUUGGGAGGCCAAGGUGGGAGGAUCACUUGAGGCCAGGAGUUCAAGACCAGCCUGGCCAACAUGAUGAAACCUUGUCUCUACCAAAAACUAGAAAAAUUAGCCAGGCACGGUGGCCCACGCCUGUAAUCCCAGCACUUUGGGAGGCUAAGGUGGGAGGAUCACUUGAGGCCAGGAGUUUAAGACCAGCCUAGGCAACAUAGACUGUGCUCUAUAAAAAAAAAAAAAAAAAUACAGUUUUGGAGUAGUGGCACAUGCCUGCAAGUCCUAGCUACUCAGGAAGCUGAGGUGAUAGGAUUAUUUAAGCCCAGGAGUUUGGGGCCUGCAGUGAGCUAUGAUCACGCCACUACACUUCCAGCCUAAGCAACAGAGCAAGAUCUCAUCUCUAGGCCAGGUGCAGUGGGUCAUGCCUGUAAUCCCAGCACUUUGGGAGGGCGAGGCGGGCAGAUCACUUGAGAUCAGGAGUUCGAGACCAGCCUGGCCAAUGUGGUGAAACCUCAUCUCUACCAAAAAUUAUAAAAAUUAGCGUGUAAUCGGGAGGCUGAGGUGGGAGAAUUGCUUGAACUUGGGAGUCGAAGGCUGCAGUAAGCUGAGAUCACGCCACUUCACUCCAGCCUGGGUGACAGAGUGAGACCCUGUCUCAAAAAAAAAGAAAAGAAAAAAAAAGGCUGAAUAGGGGUUUAUCAAGCAAAAGGAAAGCCACACCCAGUUGAGUGAAUAGCAGGUGGUGGCUGAGGUGGGAGGAUCGCUUGAGCCUGGGAGUUCAAGGCUGCAAUGAACUAUGAUCAUGCCACUGAAUUCCAGCCUGGGCAACAGAGCGAAGCUCUGUCUCAAAAAAAAAAAAAAAAAAGUGGGGGGUGGAGGUGAUGGGAGAACAAAGAAUGUCUGUGAAACUGCAAAAGCAGGAGCAAGAAUGAGGAAGAGGCUGGGAAAUUCAGUGGGGUUCGGCCGUGGAAGUGUGUCCUUUGUUCCCGACGUAGCUGCCACGUAGCAACUGCUUUGGGUGCUGUUUCAAACUAAAAAGCCCAAUUCCACCUCUGAUCAUUGCUAUACCUUUGAGAUGGUAUUUCUGGAGGAACCAGGGGAAUCAGGUGAGAGGCAGGCUCUGUAUUUAUUUAUACAACUAUGCUCAGAUCUCGCUAAGAAGAGCCUCAUGUUCUAUCUCUAUCCUCCUGAGAUGGAGAUCAAAGAUGGUGCUCAGACCCCAUGGAAGAGGACUCAAGAGUGUGCAGGAGAAAUCCAGCUCUUUCUGUAGGGGAAAAACCCUGGCUGCCAGGCACCAACGCUACUGUUAAAUAAAGGGCAGAUUCCCCAUAACCUGACAGGCUCCUGCAUCCCUCGGGAGAAGAAAAGAACAAAGUCCAGCAAGCCACCCUCCAGCUCAAGCCAACCACCUACCUUUUCAGAUGCAGCCUCCAGAGAUUUCAGAUUGUUAGUAACAUUCUUGAGUUCUUCUUCCAGGUCACCACAUUUUCUGCACAAAGACAAAGGAUUUUUGUGUCUUAUCUUCCCUUACAGCCGGCAAUAAUAGCAAUCGCCCCAACAAUAAAUUUUCCAAAGGAGAAACCUACACAGCUCCCCCGGUGGGGGGCAGAAGGAAUGUGGGGAGAAAAUGUUAAUGGAUUUUUCUGCAGUGUGAUACUAUGGGCUUAUCAAAGGCUUAUCAUACCAGGCAGAGGCGAGGUGCGCCCGAAGAGUAUUUGGAGGGCUUGGAAAACACUCCUGGUCUUUUGCCAAGGGUAAGGCUGCAAGGACUUGUGAAAUCUAUGAUUGAUGAGGCCGACUCCGGAAGGUGUAAGAAUGGGACUGAGGGCAGAAGGCGGGCAGAGAGCAAUGGGAGUUUGCAGGGGACACUCCGGGAAGGAAGCCCGGAGUGGAUUUGUGAAACCAGAUCUCUCUCAGCACUCCCGGAUGCUCUGUGGGGCUGAAUUCCUCACCCGGGGCCAAGAGGACAGGUGUUUUGUUUUUCGGUGCUUGCUUGUGGGAUUCUGGUUAAGCUUCUCACCUUCCCGCCAGGAAUGUGUCACGGCCAAACACUGACAGGAGCAAAAGCAUUUACAUACUGACCGGGGGAGCCUGCCUUCUGGAGCAGGUCAGUGUUCUGUUAAGAUGGCACAGCCCCCUGAGAUAUCCUCUCUGGGAAAAUGGGACUUCUGGGCUUCCCUGCUGCCUCCUGUCUCACUCCUAUUUCCUCAUAUCUUUGCAGAAAGGGUCAACACGUGGGCAGUGCUUCCCAUGGCAGUAAGAACAAGUCACCACCUCUUUGUCACAGAAGCCAAGAGAAAAGAUGAGCCAUGAGCCCCUGACGCCCGUCCACUUGAGCAGAGACCCCGGUCAGAGCCAAUUCCCAACACAGCCAGCUCCUUCCCACUCCGCCCCAGGAAUCGAGCCAGCCUCGCUCAGUCCUGUUCUGCCACUCACAGUUCAGACACCUCCGCACGCUCCUCUGCCCUCUCCAGCUCACCCUCCAGGAUGACCAGCUUACGAGCUACCUGCAGAGACAGAAAGGCCCAGCUGAGCCCGAUCCCCACCAGCCGUGUCCUCUCCCAUCCACUGCAGACAGCCCCCAAUGAUGCCCCACCCAGACCCCUAGACCAGCUGCAACAUGGGUUUUUCUGGUGUUUCUUUUUUUUGCAGGGGGACGGAGUCUCCCUCUGUUGCCCAGGCUGGAGUGCAGUGGCACAGUCUCGGCUCACUGCAACCUCCACCUCCUGGGUUCAAGCGAUUCUCCUGCCUCAGCCUUCCAAGUAGCUGGGACUACAGGCGCGUGCCACCACGCCCAGCUAAUUUUUGUAUUUUCAGUCGAGAUGGGGUUUCACCGUAGUGGCCAGGCUGGUCUCGAAUUCCUGACCUCCUGAUCCACCUACCUCGGCCUCCCAGAGUGCUGGGAUUAUAGGCAUGAGCCACCACACCUGGCCUCUUUUUUAUUUUUUUAUUCUUUUGAGACAGAGUCUCGCUCCAUCACCCAGGCUGAAAUGCAGUGGCUCAACCUUGACUCACUGCAACCUCUGCCUCCUGGGUUCAAGUGAAUCUCCUGUCUCAGCCUUCCAAAUAGCUGGGCUUACAGGCAUGCACGACCAUGCCCGGCUAAUUUUUGUAUUUUUUGUAGAGACAGGGUUUCACCACGUUGGCCAGGCUGGUCAUGAACUCCUGACCUCAGGUGAUCUGCCUGCCUUGGCCUCCCAAAGUGCUGGGAUUACCGGCGUGAGCCACCAUGCCCAGCCCUUUUAUGUUUUUGACAGAGGGUCUUGCUCUGUCUCCAAGGCUGGAGUGCAGUGGCGUGGUCAGAGCUCACUGCAGCCUUGACUUCCCAGGUUCAAGCGAUCCUCCUGCCUCAGCCUCCCAAGUAGCUGGGACUACAGGUGCAUGCCACCACACCCAGCUAAUUAUUAUUAUUAUUAUUUUUAGAAAUGGGGUCUCACUAUGUUGCCCAGGCUGGUCUCAAACUCCUGGCCUCAGGUGAUCCUCCCGCCUCGGUCGAAGUGCUGGGGUUACAGGUACGAGCCACCGCGCCUGGCCUUUUGCUGGCGCUUCAACUGAAAGAGCCAUCCUGGGGCCUGGAGGAAAUCCUGAUUCUCUUCCUCAAGCCUGAGGAGCGAGGCAGACAAGAGGCGGGAGGGAAGAGCCGAGCCAUCGAGGGAGGCAAAGGAGGGCCUGAGCUUGCAUGGUCUGAAACUCCAUGGCUUGGGACCACAAUCCUCCAUUUUUGCCCAACUGUGCCAAAACUCCCAGCUAACGACACAAGUGAGCUGAUCAUUCGGUUUUCCCAUUACGUUAGACAAGCGUCCGCAGCACUUUCUGGCAUCGUGGGAGAUAGUUUCCUAGCCAAGUGGUUGUCUCUGGACAAACAUAUGUUCACGCAGGAGGACAGCUGACCUAACCGAGAGCUUCCUUUCGUUGGCCCCGGUGUCCUCCCUAUCUCAGCAGAUGCAUUUCCUCCCACUUCCUGCUGCUGCGCCAUCUGCCAGCCCCACUCACCUCCUCGUAUUUGCGGUCAGCCUCUUCCGCAAUGUGCUUGGCCUCUUUGAGCUGCAUCUCCUGAAUCUCCAUCUUCUCCUCAUCCUUCAUGGCCCGGUUUUCUAUCACCUUCAUUCCUCUGCAAGGAGCAAUCUCAUCAGGACGGCCGUUCACUCACACCCCUCCACCCACCUCUCAUCUAUCUUUUCUUUCAGAUGGAGUCUCGCUCUGUCAUCCAGGCUGGAGUGCAGUGGCACGAUCUCAGCUCACUGCAACCUCCACCUCCCGGGUUCAAGCGAUUCUCCUGCCUCAGCCUCCUGAGUAGCUGGAAUUACAGGCACCCGUCACCAUGUCUGGCUAAUUGCGUGAGACACCACCCCUAGUCCCAUCUCUCAUCUAAAUGAGUCUCUGAAUCUACUGAGCACUGUAACACACUGCAAAGAUGGAACUCUGUGCACACAUUUCCUUCAUCUUGGUUUUUUUUUUUUUUUUUGAGAUGGAGUCUCGCUCUGUCACCCAGGCUGGAGUGCAGUAGUGUGAUCUCAGCUCACUGCAGCCUCCAUCUCCUGGGUUCAAGCAAUUCUCCUGUCUCAGCCUCCAGCAUAGCCGGGACUAUAGGCAUGCACCACCGUGACCGGCUAACUUUUAUAUUUUUAGUAGAGAGGGGGUUUCGCCAUGUUGGCCAGGCUGGUCUGGAACUCCUGACCUCAAGUGAUCUGCCCGCCUUGACCUCCCAGAGUGCUGGGAUUACAGGUGUGAGCCACCGCGCCCAGCCUCCCUUCAUCUUUACUACCAGGCACUUUUCUAAGUGCCUUCACUUUCACAACUGCCCUAUGGAGCAGGUAAAUUAUCCACAUUUUACAAAUGAAGAAACUAAGGCAUAGAGAGAGGGUAAGUAACUUAAGGUUACAGAGCUGGUAAGUGGUAGAGCUGAGGCUCAGCCCUUGGCAGUCUGACUCCAGAGUCUGUGCCCCCUUUCUUUUUCUUUUAUUUUGAGAGAUGGUGUCUCACUCUGUUGCCCAGGUUGGAGUGCAGUGGUGCCCUGAGAGCUCACGGCAGCCUUGUCCUCUCAGGCUCAAGCAAUCCUGUUGCCUCGGCCUCCUGAGUAGCUGGGACUAUAGGUGUGCACCACUGCACCCAGCUAAACUAAAAAAAAAUUUUUUGUGGAGGUGGGGGUUUUGCAAUGUUGCUGAGGUAGGAGGAUCGCUUGAGCCCAGGAGUUCAAGGCUGCGG